rfam:Hordeum vulgare subsp. vulgare, WGS project CAJW01000000 data, contig: morex_contig_403250
AAACUACUCCCUUCGUCCCAAAAUUCUUAUCUGAUAUUUGUUUAGAUACGAAUGUAUCUAGUAAAAUUUAGUAUUUAGAUACAUCCAUUUCUAGACAAAAGCUAAGACAAGAAUUUUGGGACGGAGGGAGUAUCAU